rnacentral:rRNA from 1 species
CCUACGGGUGGCAGCAGUGAGGAAUAUUUGUCAAUGGGCGCGCGCCUGAACCAGCCAAGUCGCGUGAGGGAAGACGGUCCUAUGGAUUGUAACCCUCUUUUGUCGGGGAGCCAAAGACGCCACGCGUGGCGUUCCGAGAGUACCCGAAGAAAAAGCAUCGGCAAACUCCGGGACAGCAGCCGCGGUAAUACGGAGGAUGCGAGCGUUAUCCGGAUUUAUUGGGUUUAAAGGGUGCGCAGGCGGAAGAUCAAGUCAGCGGUAAAAUUGAGAGGCUCAACCUCUUCGAGCCGUUGAAACUGGGUUUCUUGAGUGAACGAGAAGUAUGCGGAAUGCGUGGGGUAGCGGUGAAAUGCAUAGAUAUCACGCAGAACUCCGAUUGCGAAGGCAGCAUACCGGCGCUCAACUGACGCUCAUGCACGAAAGUGUGGGUAUCGAACAGGAUUAGAUACCCUUGUAGUC